rnacentral:rRNA from 1 species
UACGUAGGUGGCAAGCGUUGUCCGGAAUUAUUGGGCGUAAAGAGCUCGUAGGCGGUCUGUCGCGUCGGCUGUGAAAACCCGGGGCUCAACCCCGGGCCUGCAGUCGAUACGGGCAGACUAGAGUGCGGUAGGGGAGACUGGAAUUCCUGGUGUAGCGGUGAAAUGCGCAGAUAUCAGGAGGAACACCGGUGGCGAAGGCGGGUCUCUGGGCCGUAACUGACGCUGAGGAGCGAAAGCAUGGGGAGCGAACAGG